CAGUCACAAACAUUGGAUGGUCUAGAAAGUGGAACAUAAAGAACAUUGACUAUUUUUUGUGUUUUGUGCCUAUCAAGCAUCAAUAUGCCAAUUUCUCUAAUCAUGGUUACAAGAACACAGAAAAAGGUUCCCUGAAUCUUCAGUUGAUUAAUUAGAGAUCUGACUUUUCAUUUGCGCUUUUCACGGGUGGCUUAACAAUACUCAAGUCGAUAGUCAAUUGCCUCAUGCUCUUCAGCCACAGUUGUCACUAUGGUGGAACCAUUCUUUGCAAAGCCAAGAGACAUUGUCGAGAACAACCUCGAUGCAUGUGUUCUCACCUUUGUGUGUUGAGACCAUGUUUGCUUCCUUUUUGUGCUCCUAGUGUUUGGUGAUGGUGCUGCCUACAGUGAGGAGGAAGAUGACGAGAAGAAAAGACCGAAUGAAGUGAGAAGGGUAAGAUGGAGAAUUUAUAAAUUUAGAGGGUGCACCAAGUAAAAUUGGGUUGCAUCAAGCAAUUGUACUGUGACAACUAACAAGAAGAUGCAAAGCUACAAUGCGCACUUUGAUAUGGCAAUAAAAUAUAAUUAAAAAAAAUAAACAGAAAAGAAAAGAUGAAACGUACUGUGA